AGAGUUUGAUCAUGGCUCAGAACGAACGCUGGCGGCAUGCCUAACACAUGCAAGCCGAACGCAAGGUUUCGGUUCGCCGGGGCCUUGAGUGGCGCACGGGUGAGUAGCGCGUGGGAACCUGCCCUGGAGUGGGGGAUAACCGAGGGAAACUUCGGCUAAUACCGCAUGCGCCCGGAGCAAUCCGGGGAAAGAUUUAUCGCUCUAGGAGGGGCCCGCGUCGGAUUAGCUAGUUGGUGGGGUAACGGCCUACCAAGGCGAUGAUCCGUAGCUGGUCUGAGAGGAUGAUCAGCCACACUGGGACUGAGACACGGCCCAGACUCCUACGGGAGGCAGCAGUGGGGAAUAUUGGACAAUGGGCGAAAGCCUGAUCCAGCAAUGCCGCGUGAGUGAGGAAGGCCUUAGGGUUGUAAAGCUCUUUCGGCGGGGACGAUGAUGACGGUACCCGCAGAAGAAGCCCCGGCUAACUUCGUGCCAGCAGCCGCGGUAAUACGAAGGGGGCGAGCGUUGUUCGGAUUUACUGGGCGUAAAGGGCGCGCAGGCGGUUCUGUUUGUCGAGUGUGAAAGCCCCGGGCUCAACCUGGGAACUGCGCUCGAAACGGCGGAACUAGAGUUCGGGAGAGGAGAGUGGAAUUCCCAGUGUAGAGGUGAAAUUCGUAGAUAUUGGGAAGAACACCGGUGGCGAAGGCGGCUCUCUGGACCGAUACUGACGCUGAGGCGCGAAAGCGUGGGGAGCAAACAGGAUUAGAUACCCUAGUAGUCC
rnacentral:rRNA from 1 species